UACAGAGACUGCAAGCGUUAUUCGGAUUCACUGGGCGUAAAGGGUGCGCAGGCGGCCAAGUGUGUGAGGCGUGAAAGCCUGGAGCUUAACUCCAGAAUUGCACCUCAAACUACUUGGCUAGAGCAUUGGAGAGGGUAGCAGAAUUCAUGGUGUAGCAGUGAAAUGCGUAGAUAUCAGGAAGAACACCAGUGGCGAAGGCGGUGCUCUGGGCCGGAACUGACGCUGAGGAGCGAAAGCGUGGGGAGCAAACAGG
rnacentral:rRNA from 1 species